GGGUUAAAAAAUUAUCAAUUGAAUCUUUAAAUUUAUUAAUCACAACUGAAGUUAAAGUAUUAAACAAGACGUUUUUCUCAGGUAAUACAUUUUGGUUGACAUUAAAUACCCACUAGGUGUUAAUAACUAUGGGGAAACUAGGUGCUCAGCUGUGAUUUUGACUCGUGUUUACUCUUUGCCAUAGCAAAUAUAUUUAAUAGUAGGUUAGGAAAGUAAUGUUUUGUGAAACUGCUUAGUUUGGUUAAAAAAACAAAAAGUAGUGUCACAGGUUGGAAUGGCUCUUUAACUAGCCACACAUGUGACCCUGAAUGUUCCCCUGGAUUCUCCCAGGCCUUGGAGUUGCUCACUGGAGACUCGUUGUUCCACCCCAAAGCCGGCGAGUUCAUGUCCCUGGAGGAAGACCACAUCGGCCAAAUCGUCGAGCUCCUCGGCAGAAUUCCUCCAGAUGUUGUCCAGUCAGGCAAACAUUCAGCUCAAUACUUCAACCGAAGAGGUACAACCACAUCUUCUUCUUCUUCAAACUAAAGUUUAGCUCAAUUUCUAAAACAAACCCUGUUUUUUCUCUGUAUGUUGCUGUGCGGGUGAUCUCCGUCGUGUUGGUCCACUGAGGCCGUGGAGACUUUAUGACGUUCUGGUGGAGAAAUAUAACUUUCUACUAGAAGAGGCCUCUGAAUACUCAAACUUCCUUCUCCGUAUUCUGGAUUAUCACUCAGAGAGAAGGGCAACAGCUGCACAGUGCCUUCAACACCCAUGGUUGACCUCCAGUUAACCUCCUGAAGACCCUAAAGGCCGUGGAAAGUUCUCUCAGCCAGAUGUUUUCAGCAGCAAGACCUCAACGGUUUCAGGGCAUCUUUGAAUUUUCACAUUUGGGGAAUUCCUGCUGCACUUAUUUAGCAUCAGAAAGAAAAUCUUCUCCACUUGAGCUUCAUGAGCACUUUAGGCUUUUUUUUUCUCUCAUUUUCUUUAUUCUUCCUGAAUUUUGUUCUAGAGACCUUAGGUAUAAAAAUCUUUAUUGUCUUUACACUGAUAGACUUGAGCCUGAACUGUCAUGACCAUCAAAAGGUAUUCAUUCAUCGAUUUCAUUAAGUGUUCUUAAUACAGGCUUUAUAUUUAGAUACGGUUUUACAGCAAAGCAAUAGAUUUUCCACUGACAUGUUUUAUGAAAAUAAUGCUAAAUGAAUGCUGAGUGAAUUUUAGUCUGCAGUUGUCAGACAGACGCUGUUGUCUGUGUUAGCUUCUUGGUACAUUCUCACAAAAUGUCUAGCAGGAAGCAACCGUUUCUCAAGAGCCGAGACCUUCUUUAUGAAGCAAAACGUAGAACCAGGAGCUUUUUUUUUUUUACCAGGUUACAAAACAUCUGAACUUUGAAAUUAUUGCUAAUGUUCAUUAUCCCAAUUGUGUCCAGAACACUGCAAUGAGUUUGCAGUUAAAAUUAUUUAAAAUAUUGUAAAAUAUACACGCAUAUGAUCUGUGCACCUUCCGCGACUGAAUUGUGACAUAUACCCUGAUGGAGAACAGGCAAUAAGCAUAACGCUGGCAACACAUGCAGCAAUGUCUGCUAAUGCCAGUAUCAGAAGUAUUUAAUGUAGGUCAGUGGGGUGGUAUGUAAAGAAAUGUAGAAAUUUAUUCAGUUGACUAAAUCCAACUCAGCCAAUAUAGUCCAAAUUGUGAUUGCGUGGGUUUAUUGAAUAUUUCAUAUUCCAUGUCAAACUGACAAAUUAGCACAAAACCUUUGUAAGCUAACUAAGUUGGAUAAGACAGGUCUAAAACAGCUCUGAAUAUGUCAUUUUUACUCGGUGGCAAAAUCAUUACAUAAUCAUAAGUGCAUAUGUUUCAAAAAAACAUUAAUCUCUUUUAUACUGCUGUUGCUAAUUCUUGUUCAAACUGCUUCCAAACUUAUUUUUGAUAGGUGAUGAAUGUUCCACACAUACCAACCAUCAUUUAUUAGCACUUUGCCACCAUAAUAAUCAGCCAGGCCAGAGUUUGCAAGCUCUCAGAUUUUUAUACUAAAUACCUACAUUUAAAUCUAUUCCAUGUGUUCAAAUUAACUACAGUACUUAAUUUAGAAUCUGCUUAUCAGAAGAAACAUAUUUAAAUGUGUUUCUUCUGAUUACACAUUUAAAUAGAACUGCAACAAAAUUCAUACAGUAAGAGGUUGAGUACAUAAAUACAGAGAAAAAAACUUUGCAUGUUUAUGGUUUCCAGAAAUAUGAGUGGGGAGGAAAGAGGUUUGAAGUUGUACAACCAUCAAGCAGAAAAAUGUUUAGUGGAGCUAUGAUGAGUAUUU